rnacentral:rRNA from 1 species
CCUACGGGUGGCUGCAGUAGGGAAUAUUGGUCAAUGGUCGAAAGACUGAACCAGCCAUGCCGCGUGCAGGAAGACGGCCUUAUGGGUUGUAAACUGCUUUUAUCAGGGAAGAACCCCACUUUGCGAAGUGGUCUGACGGUACCUGAGGAAUAAGCACCGGCUAACUCCGUGCCAGCAGCCGCGGUAAUACGGAGGGUGCAAGCGUUGUCCGGAUUUAUUGGGUUUAAAGGGUGCGUAGGCGGCUUAUUAAGUCAGUGGUGAAAUUCAUGAGCUUA